GAGGGGGGUCAGGCCUUGCUCAGUGAGGGGGUCAGGCCUUGCUCAGUAAGGGGGGUCAGGCCUUGCUCAGUGAGGGGGAGUCAGACCUUGCUCAGUGAAGGCUGAGCCCUAUAGCAGUGUCCCUGCCCUGGCUUUGCUGCUUUCCUGGGGAGCCCAGCUGUUGCCUUAAGCCACUUUGGAGGGGCUCUGGCCUGGGCUUGCUCUGGGAAGCACCAGCCGCACAGUCCAGUUUCUCUUUGUGGAAAUGUCCCGUGUUCCAGGGAAGGCCGCCCUUACUGGGGCUCCCCACUCAACACUUUCAACAGCCCCAUUAGGAAGGAACAUCCUGCCUCCUGGGUUGCGCUGGUCCCCUGGUCUCCCUGCUGUUUGAAUCUGGAGAACCCCACCCUCCAGAAGCACAAAGCACCCAGCAUUCACCUCUGAAUAGUGCAGCUGGCUGCAGGGCCAGAAGUGCGUCUGCCCUUAUUCUUAACACUUCAGAGAGAGAGAGAGAGAGAGAGGAAGAUCAGAGCUCUGCUGAGCUCUGGCUGGUGGUGGUACUGGGGAUUGAACUUAGGACCUCAGAGCCUCAGGCCAGAGAGUCUGCAGAACCACAGUGCUGUCUCCCCAGCCCUGUGACACAUUUCACCCUGAUCCAUUUCUGAUCCUCUCUGUUUCCACUGAGCUGCCAAACUGCCCCUCAGUUUCUGACCCGUGUCUUCCUGGUACCACAGCCACAGCUGGGGCGGGGGGGUCUUGGCAUGUCUCCCCAGACCACUAAAGGCAGAGCACCUACAUACCUGCUCUUCCGGGCUGGGGGUGGGUACUAUGGUGCGUGAGGGGGGAGGCAUGGACAUGGCAGAGCAGACGGUUCACUCCUUCAGAAGCACCCCUCCUUCCCCUGCUGCCCACCCCCCACCCAGCCCUGUCAGCACAUGUCCAGGGCUUUAGCGGUUUCCUUCCUGAUAAGUCCCAGGGGGGCCUCUGAACACCUGUUUCUGCUCCGGCUGCCUCGACAGCAACCCCGGGACAGCUGCGCUUUGGGUCGCAAGACGCACUCUCCACGUCGUUUGAGUCAGGGAGUUGGUCUGGUGUGGGAGCCUGGCCCUGGCAGAGCUGUCCGUCACUGGGCCCCCAGGCUCAAGCUCUGGAGCUGCUGCUCUGCAGGAAAGAGGCUGAUCGGGGUCUUUCCCAACUGACAGCCCCAUCCACCUUCAUUCUUUUUUAAAAAAAAUUGUAUUUAUUUAUUUAUUAUUGGAUAGAGACAGAGAUAAAAUUGAGAGGAGAGAAAGAGAUGGAGAGGGAGAGAGGCAGAGAGACACCUGCAGCCCUGCUUCACCGCUCGUGAAACUUUCCCCCUGCAGGUGUGGGCAGGAGGCUCGAAGCCAGGUCCUUGCGCACUGUUCUGCGUGCACUCAACCAGGUGUGCCGCCACCUUCAUUCUUACUAUUUUCCUUUUUUUAAAAAAUUUUCAAUUUUUAUUUUUAAUUUUUUAUAGAAAAAAAUUUAGGGGGGAAGAAAUAAGACACUGUAGCCCAACUUCCCCACUCACUCAGUGCGGCUCUGCCCUGCAGGUGAGGGCCAGGGGCUCAGCCCAGGUCCCUGUGCUCAGUGAUGUAUGUUGUCUAGGCGUGACCACCGCCCAGCUUCCUCUGACCAUUUUUUUUUUUUUUCUAAACCAGAGCCCUGCUCAGCUCUGGCUCAUGGUGGUGCAGGGGAUUGAACCUGACUGAGACCUUGGAGCCUCAGACAUGAGAGUCUACAGAACCAUUAUGCUGUCUACCCUGCCCCUCUUACCAUUUUCUUACCCCCUUAACUAAAAUCCCUUUGAUGUCUGGAAUUCUCAGCCUGCCUAGAGACUCUUGACUUGCCAGCCAGUGGUUGGGGAAUCGCAGAGUCCAAGCAGACAAGCCCUGGUAACUGUGGCUGGCCACCUUGCUGCCACUGCUUUAAGGCGGCAUCUGUCGUCUGGCCACAUUACUUGUCUCCUCACUGAGAGGGACCAGUUCACAUCUGGGAGCCUGUGUGGCCUCUCACCCUGAAUGUUGUCUUCGUCCCUCCUCAAAGUGGCAGGAGUCCGAGGAGUGUCUGACGUAAGGCCACUUGCCACAGCCACCUGCCUGACCAUCCCUCCCGCUCUCCUCUGUACAAGUCACCAGCUCCCUCUUCUGUGUGGCCCAGAGGCCCAGGGACAGUCCAGAAUGCAAGUCUCACCUCCCUGCCCGCCAGUUCCUGGGUGCAGCUGCCAGUGGGGACCCAGACCCAGGGCCCCCGCAAAGGCUGCUCCCUGUUCCCCGUCCCCAGUUGCCCUUUGCCCUCCCAGAUAAACCCACAAAAAUCACUUCUCCACUUGAAACAAAGCCACGGUACUGCUCCCUGGCUUUCUGCUAGGUGCCCAUGUUCUCGCCUUCUCAGCCUGCAGUCACCCCGCUGUAGCCCAGUGAGGUGGCAGGUCUGUAGAGGAGGAGGGGCUUAGCUGGAAGAGGCUGGAACCAGGUAUGUUGUGCUCCUCCCUGGAGAGCUGGGUGGGGAAACGGGUAGAGCUCGGCCCUGGCCAGCCCGUGGCACUCUGGGAUGAUUUGCUCAAGACCUUGGUUAAUGUUUCCAGACUGGAAUGGACAUUUGCUGGCUUGAUGCACCCCCCCCACUGUGUAUAAAUUGUAUUUUUUUUCAUUUGUAAAAUUCUAUUUUUAUUUGAACUGUUGGGAGUUCUCCUGGUAAUAUGUCGGAAUAAAAUGUCUUCAUCUGUC